rnacentral:rRNA from 1 species
GACGAACGCUGGCGGCGUGCUUAACACAUGCAAGUCGAACGAAGUGGCGAACGGGUGAGUAACGCGUAAUCAACCUGCCCUUCAGAGGGGUACAACAGUUGGAAACGACUGCUAAUACCGCAUACUGAAGGAGGGGAUGGCGUCUGAUUAGCUAGUUGGGGGGGUAACGGCCCACCAAGGCGAAGAUCAGUAGCCUGUCUGAGAGGGAGAACGGCCACAACGGGACUGGGACACGGCCCAGACUCCUACGGGGGGCAGGAGUUGGGAAACUUCCGCCAUGGACGGAAGGCUGACGGCGCAACGCCGCGGGAGUGAUGACGGCCUUCGGGAUGUAAAGCUCUGUUAAUCGGGACGCGGUACCGGAAUAGAAAGCCACGGCUAACUACGUGCCAGCAGCCGCGGUAAUUC